GACGAACGCUGGCGGCGUGCUUAACACAUGCAAGUCGAACGAAGUGGCGAACGGGUGAGUAACGCGUAAUCAACCUGCCCUUCAGAGGGGGACAACAGUUGGAAACGACUGCUAAUACCGCAUACUGAAGGAGGGGAUUGCGUCUGAUUAGCUAGUUGGAGGGGUAACGGCCAACCAAGGGGAUGAUCAGUAGCCGGUCUGGGAGGAGGAACGGCCAAAAUGGGACUGAGACAAGGCCCAGAAUCCCACGGGAGGCAGCAGUGGGGAAUCUUCCGAAAUGGACGAAAGUCUGACGGAGCAAAGCCGGGGGAGUGAUGACGGCCUUCGGGUUGGAAAGCUCUGUUAAUCGGGACGCGGUACCGGAAUAGAAAGCAACGGCUAACUACGUGCCAGCAGCCGCGGUAAUAC
rnacentral:rRNA from 1 species